AACAUGGUUUUUAGAUUUAUAUUUGAGAUCUAGCCUGCCCAGUGAUUUAUUAAAUGGCCGCAGUAUUUUAACUGUGCAAAGGUAGCAUAAUAAUUAGUUUUUUAAUUGGAAGCUUGUAUGAAUGGUUGGACGAAAUAAAUUCUGUCUUUAUUUAAAUUAUAUUAGAAUUUAAUUUUUAAGUCAAAAAGCUUAAAUUUUUUUAAAAGACGAGAAGACCCUAUAAAGCUUUAUAUAAUUGUUUAUUAUAAUUUUUAUUAUUUUAUGUUGUAUUGAAUUUUUAUAUUUUAUUGGGGUAAUAUAAAGAUUUAAUUAAUUCUUUAUUAUUUUUACAUUGAUAUAUGAAUUUAUGAUCCAUUAUUAUUGAUUACAAGAUUAAGUUACUUUAGGGAUAACAGCGUAAUUUUUUUAAAGAGUUCUUAUCGAUAAUAAAGUUUGCGACCUCGAUGUUGGAUUAAAAAUUAUUUAAGGUGUAGAAGCUUUAAGUUUUGGUCUGUUCGACCAUUAAAUUUUUACGUGAU
rnacentral:rRNA from 1 species